UACGUAGGGGGGCGAGCGUUGUCCGGAUUUAUUGGGCGUAAAGAGCGUGUAGGCGGUUCGGUAAGUCUGUCGUGAAAUCCUGAGGCUCAACCUCGGGCGUGCGAUGGAUACUGCCGGGCUAGAGGAUGGUAGAGGCGAGUGGAAUUCCCGGUGUAGCGGUGAAAUGCGUAGAUAUACGGAGGAACACCAGCGGCGAAGGCGGGGUAGCUGGGGCCAACACUGACGCUGAUGCGCGAAAAGCUAGGGGGAGCAAAACGGG
rnacentral:rRNA from 1 species